GACAUAGGGUGCAAGCGUUAUCCGGAUUUACUGGGUGUAAAGCGCGUGUAGGUGGUCUUGUAAGUUGGACGUGAAAUCUCUCGGCUUAACUGGGAGGGGCCGUUCAAUACUGCGAGGCUUGAGGGCAGGAGAGGGAGGUGGAAUUCCCGGUGUAGUGGUGAAAUGCGUAGAUAUCGGGAGGAACACCAGUGGCGAAGGCGGCCUCCUGGCCUGCUCCUGACACUGAGACGCGAAAGCUAGGGGAGCGAACGGGAUUAGAAACCCUUGUAGU
rnacentral:rRNA from 1 species